AUUGAACGCUGGCGGCAGGCCUAACACAUGCAAGUCGAGCGAGCGGCGGACGGGUGAGUAAUGUAUGGGGAUCUGCCCGAUGGAGGGGGAUAACUACUGGAAACGGUGGCUAAUACCGCAUACUAUCGGAUGAACCCAGAUGGGCUUAGCUUGUUGGUGGGGUAACGGCUCACCUAGGCGCCGAUCUCUAGCUGGUCUGAGAGGAUGAGCAGCCACACUGGAACUGAGACACGGCCCAGACUCCUACGUGAGGCAGCAGUGGGGAAUAUUGCACAAUGGGCGCAAGCCUGAUGCAGCCAUGCCGCGUGUAUGAAGAAGGCCUUAGGGUUGUAAAGUACUUUCAGCGGGGAGGCGUUACCCGCAGAAGAAGCACCGGCUAACUCCGUGCCAGCAGCCGCGGUAAUAC
rnacentral:rRNA from 1 species